rnacentral:rRNA from 1 species
CUCCUCUUGAGUGAAUAAGAGGUAUGAUCUGCUCCAUGCGCGAAAGUAAAUUGCCGCAGUAUCUUGACUGUGCUAAGGUAGCAAAAUAAUUUGGCUUUUAAUUGGAGUCUGGAAUGAAUGAUUUGACAAAGUUUAACCUGUCUCAUUCUUUUUUCUUGAAUUUAGAAUUUCUGUAAAAAUACAGAAAUAAAUGAGAGGGACGAAAAGACCCUAUAGAUCUUUACUCUUCUUGUAAAAUAACUUUAAAUUUAGGCAGGUUGAGUUUUCUUGGGGUAAGACUAAAAAUUGAAUUUUGGCUAAAGAAAAAGAUUGAUUAGUCGAAAAGAUGAAGAAAAAUAAGAUAAGUUACCUUAGGGAUAACAGGAUAAUUUCUUUAUUUAGAACUUAUAAAGAAAGAAGUUUAUCACCUCGAUGUUGAAUUAAGUUUUCUUCUAUUCGUAGAAGGAUGUGAAGUUAGUCUGUUCGACUAUUAAAAACUU